rnacentral:rRNA from 1 species
UGGGGAAUCUUGGACAAUGGGCGCAAGCCUGAUCCAGCCAUGCCGCGUGAGUGAUGAAGGCCUUAGGGUUGUAAAGCUCUUUUUGCCGGGGACGAUAAUGACGGUACCCGGAGAAUAAGUCCCGGCUAACUUCGUGCCAGCAGCCGCGGUAAUACGAAGGGGACUAGCGUUGUUCGGAAUCACUGGGCGUAAAGCGCACGUAGGCGGAUUUGUAAGUCAGGGGUGAAAUCCCGGGGCUCAACCUCGGAACUGCCUUUGAUACUGCGGAUCUCGAGUCCGAUAGAGGUGAGUGGAAUUCCUAGUGUAGAGGUGAAAUUCGUAGAUAUUAGGAAGAACACCAGUGGCGAAGGCGGCUCACUGGAUCGGUACUGACGCUGAGGUGCGAAAGCGUGGGGAGCAAACAGGAUUAGAUACCCCGGUAGUCCCUGAGCGGGCUGGCAAGGCGCAU